rnacentral:rRNA from 1 species
UACAGAGGGUGCGAGCGUUAAUCGGAAUUACUGGGCGUAAAGCGUGCGUAGACGGUCAUGUAAGUCGGGUGUGAAAGCCCCGGGCUCAACCUGGGAAUUGCAUUCGGGACUGCAUGGCUAGGAUGCGGAAGAGGGAAGCGGAAUUUCCGGUGUAGCGGUGAAAUGCGUAGAUAUCGGAAGGAACACCAGUGGCGAAAGCGGCUUCCUGGUCCAGCAUCGACGUUCAGGCACGAAAGCGUGGGGAGCAAACAGG